rnacentral:rRNA from 1 species
UAGGGAAUCUUCGGCAAUGGGGGCAACCCUGACCGAGCAACGCCGCGUGAGUGAAGAAGGUUUUCGGAUCGUAAAGCUCUGUUGUAAGAGAAGAACGUGUGUGAGAGUGGAAAGUUCACACAGUGACGGUAACUUACCAGAAAGGGACGGCUAACUACGUGCCAGCAGCCGCGGUAAUACGUAGGUCCCGAGCGUUGUCCGGAUUUAUUGGGCGUAAAGCGAGCGCAGGCGGUUUAAUAAGUCUGAAGUUAAAGGCAGUGGCUUAACCAUUGUUCGCUUUGGAAACAGUUAGACGUGAGUGCAGAAGGGGAGAGUGGAAGUGAAUGUGUGGCGGUGAAAUGCGUAGAUAUAUGGAGGAACACAGGUGGCGAAAGCGGCUCUCUGGUCUGUAACUGACGCUGAGGCUCGAAAGCGAGGGGAGCAAACAGG